GGUGAAAUUCUUGGAUCGUCGCAAGACGGACAGAAGCGAAAGCAUUUGCCAAAAACGUUUUCAUUGAUCAAGAACGAAAGUUAGAGGUUCGAAGGCGAUCAGAUACCGCCCUAGUUCUAACCAUAAACGAUGCCAGCUAGCGAUCCGCCGACGUUCCUCCGAUGACUCGGCGGGCAGCUUCCGGGAAACCAAAGCUUUUGGGUUCCGGGGGAAGUAUGGUUGCAAAGCUGAAACUUAAAGGAAUUGACGGAAGGGCACCACCAGGAGUGGAGCCUGCGGCUUAAUUUGACUCAACACGGGAAACCUCACCAGGCCCGGACACCGGAAGGAUUGACAGAUUGAGAGCUCUUUCUUGAUUCGGUGGGUGGUGGUGCAUGGCCGUUCUUAGUUGGUGGAGCGAUUUGUCUGGUUAAUUCCGAUAACGAACGAGACUCUGGCCUGCUAACUAGGCGUAUUUCCGACAUCUCGAAGGCCCGCCGGCCUGGUGCGUUCGCGUGCCAAGUCGUGCGCGGUUUUUACUGUCGGCGUACAAACAAUUCUUCUUAGAGGGACAGGCGGCUUCUAGCCGCACGAGAUAGAGCAAUAACAGGUCUGUGAUGCCCUUAGAUGUUCUGGGCCGCACGCGCGCUACACUGAAGGAAUCAGCGUGUCCUCCCUGGCCGAGCGGCCCGGGUAACCCGCUGAACCUCCUUCGUGCUAGGGAUUGGGGCUUGCAAUUGUUCCCCAUGAACGAGGAAUUCCCAGUAAGCGCGAGUCAUAAGCUCGCGUUGAUUACGUCCCUGCCCUUUGUACACACCGCCCGUCGCUACUACCGAUUGAAUGAUUUAGUGAGGUCUUCGGACCGGCACGCGGUGGCGUUUCGACGUCGCCGAUGAUGCUGGAAAGAUGACCAAACUUGAUCAUUU
rnacentral:rRNA from 1 species